GACGAACGCUGGCGGCGUGCUUAACACAUGCAAGUCGAACGGAAAGGCCCUGCUUUUGUGGGGUGCUCGAGUGGCGAACGGGUGAGUAACACGUGAGUAACCUGCCCUUGACUUUGGGAUAACUUCAGGAAACUGGGGCUAAUACCGGAUAGGAGCUCCUGCUGCAUGGUGGGGGUUGGAAAGUUUCGGCGGUUGGGGAUGGACUCGCGGCUUAUCAGCUUGUUGGUGGGGUAGUGGCUUACCAAGGCUUUGACGGGUAGCCGGCCUGAGAGGGUGACCGGCAACAUUGGGACUGAGAUACGGCCCAGACUCCUACGGGAGGCAGCAGUGGGGAAUAUUGCACGAUGGGCGGAAGCCUGAUGCAGCAACGCCGCGUGCGGGAUGACGGCCUUCGGGUUGUAAACCGCUUUCGCCUGUGACGAAGCGUGAGUGACGGUAAUGGGUAAAGAAGCACCGGCUAACUACGUG
rnacentral:rRNA from 1 species